rnacentral:lncRNA from 1 species
GAGAGGAGAGGAGAGGAGAGGAGAGAAGGAGAGGAGGGGAGAGGAGAGGCGAGGACUGCAGAGCUCAUCUGACUGAACACUGAACAUUGAUGACGUUAUGUUAGGUCUGCUUCACUGGAGCCACAUGAGACUGUUCUGCUGUUCAGCCCACAGACGGACGGACAAGACAGACAGGACAGGACAGGACAGACAGGACAGGACAGGACAGAACAGGGCAGGACAGGACAGGACAGGACAGGACAGAACAGGACAGAACAGACAGGACAGAACAGGACAGACAAGAUAGACAGGACAGACAAGACAGACAGGACAGAACAGACAGGACAGACAGGACAGAACAGGCAGACAGGACAGACAGGACAGGACAGACAGGACAGAACAGACAGGACUGGACAGGACAGAACAGAACAGAACAGACAGGACAGAACAGGACAGACAAGAUAGACAGGACAGAACAGACAGGACAGACAGGACAGAACAGAACAGACAGGACAGACAGGACACUUGGUGUAGCAGAGCAGAGCAGAACACACACUGUGACUGGACUACCACACACUACACAGCUCUAUACAGCUAUAACACACAACACAGUUCUAUACAGCUAUAACACACUACACAGCUCUAUACAGCUAUAACACACUACACAGCUCUAUACAGCUAUAACACACUACACAGCUCUAUACAGCUAUAACACACUACACAGCUCUAUACAGCUAUAACACACUACACAGCUCUAUACAGCUAUAACACACUACACAGCUCUAUAACAGACUACACAGCUCUAUAACACACUACACAGCUCUAUAACAGACUACACAGCUCUAUACAGCUAUAACACACUACACAGCUCUAUAACAGACUACACAGCUCUAUAACACACUACACAGCUCUAUACAGCUAUAACACACUACACAGCUCUAUAACAGACUACACAGCUCUAUAACAGACUACACAGCUCUAUAACAGACUACACAGCUCUAUAACACACUACACAGCUCUAUACAGCUAUAACACACUACACAGCUCUAUACAGCUAUAACACACUACACAGCUCUAUACAGCUAUAACACACUACACAGCUCUAUACAGCUAUAACACACUACACAGCUCUAUAACAGACUACACAGCCUAUAACACACUACACAGCCUAUAACACACUACACAGCUCUAUACAGCUAUAACACACUACACAGCUCUAUACAGCUAUAACACACUACACAGCUCUAUACAGCUAUAACACACUACACAGCCUAUAACACACUACACAGCUCUAUACAGCUAUAACACACUACACAGCUCUAUACAGCUAUAACACACUACACAACUCUAUACAGCUAUAACACACUACACAGCUCUAUAACACACUACACAGCUCUAUAACACACUACACAGCUCUAUAACACACUACACAGCUCUAUACAGCUAUAACACACUACACAACUCUAUAACACACUACACAGCUAUAACACACUACACAGCUCUAUAACACACUACAUAGCUCUAUACACACUACACAGCUCUAAAACAGACUACACAGCUCUAUAACACACUACACAGCUCUAUAACACACUACACAGCUCUAUAACACACUACACAGCUCUAUACAGCUAUAACACACUACACAACUUUAUAACACACUACACAGCUCUAUACAGCUAUAACACACUACACAACUCUAUACAGCUAUAACACACUACACAGCUCUAUACAGCUAUAACACACUACACAACUCUAUACAGCUAUAACACACUACACAGCUCUAUACAGCUAUAACACACUACACAGCCCUAUAUGUUCCUGAGUUUGGGUAAUCCCAACAGUUACAUUACUGAGUUUGGGUAAUCCCAACAGUUACAUUACUGAGUUUGGGUAAUCCCAACAAUUACAUUACUGAGUUUGGGUAAUCCCAACAGUUAUGUUCCUGAGUUUGGGUAAUCCCAACAGUUAUGUUCCUGAGUUUGGGUAAUCCCAACAGUUAUGUUCCUGAGUUUGGGUAAUCCCAACAGUU